GACGAAGCCAUUGAGUUCGUGUUGAUUCGUUCUUCACUGGAGGGUUUCGGCUUCAUUCGCUGUCCUCGCACUUGCAGCCGUCGUCUACGAACGUCGAGUUGUCUCAUCUUCUUCUCCUCUUCCAACUGUGAGAUUCAAGUCGACGUCCACCUUCAUCUAUCGCUCAGAUCCGUUCUGCACGUCGUUGUUCAACUUAGUUCGUACACCACUGACUUUUCUCGCUGUGACUCGCAGUGGGUUUUUGGUGGUGUCAUUGUGAUAGUGUUUGAGUUCUUGGAUUUACGACAGGUUGGAUGGAGCUUAAUUUUCCAUUUACUUGGGUUUGUUUCAUUGGACCUUAGUUCGAACAAGAAGCUUAGGUAACCUUAAAGUAAGGGUUCCUACUAUUGGACUCAAUAAUGAAACUAAGAUGUAUUGACUGUAUGGAUUCCGCUGACUGAUGUGUAAAUUUAUAUCAGAUGACUGUUUGACUAUAUGAAUUUUACUAAACGGAGAUGGGUUGAUUGAUAUGUGAAAUUAGUUAUGGUGACUGAACUGAGGACAUUGAAUUGAUUAAAUUGUGGGUUGUUGACUGUUAUAUGUUAAUGCAUAGAUUGAAUUGAUUGAAUUGGUGAGUAACGCUUAUGUAUAAGUUUAAUUGUUUGAGGAACCGUUCUGAUAAUGUUUGAUUAUGUACUGGAUUGAGUAAUUUGACUGUAUAUAUGUUGAACUGAAAGAAUGACAUGAUGGUAGUUUAUGUUGUAAAUUGAGUUGACCGUUUUAAAUGUUAGGAUGGACUGAGGGGAAACUGUUAGCUUUAUUUAUAGUGUGCCUUGCAGGUGUCCCACG